rnacentral:ncRNA from 1 species
AUUGUGUACUUAUGGAUGUUCGAGGCAUUUUUUGUGAGUCUGCCUUUCUGCCAUUAAGUUGGUGGGUUGGUGGGUUUGCAUCGUUUACUGUGAAAAAUUUAGAGUGUUUAAAGCAGGCGUUUGCUCAUUUGAAUACAUUAGCAUGGAAUAAUAAGAUACGGCCUUGGUGGUCUAUUUUGUUGGUUUGCACACCACGGUAAUGAUUAAUAGGGACAGUUGGGGAAAGUCACUCGCACUAGAGUCAAGGCCAUGAAGCCUUAAUGAAUCGAAAGCCUUUUUCGAUAACGAUCGCUUA